rnacentral:tRNA from 1 species
GCCGGGUCCUCCAGCAGAAGUGCGAGCUGGGUCUGCUCGACCCGGACUGGUCGCCGGUACCGGAGGCGCUGGCCGGUUCCGGCACCGACGAUCCGGCU